rnacentral:piRNA from 1 species
UGCCUCGCAACAGCCACGUUCGGCUCAGC